rnacentral:lncRNA from 1 species
AGACUGCUGCUCUCGCUGCCCACCAUAAAUAUUUAUUUUUGUAUUAUCGUUCUGAUAUGUUAUGGUCUUCUUCUUUGUGUUCAAGUUAUCUUCGUUAAUUUUCAUAUUUCUUUGUUUACCUUUUUUGUUUCUUCUUCUUCAACAAAAUUCUUGUUAGUCUUGUUACAAAAUAGGUUUUAUGUGUGUUUGAGAUGUCAAACAUGUUAAUUGAUGUGUAUUUUUUUAUGUUCUAUUUGUUAAGUUUUCAAAUCCCUUUCCAAUAUUUUGAUGCCAAGUG